CAAAACAUUGCCACGCAACAGCGCAUCAUCGAACCAAUUCGAAAAGAUCAAAUUUCUACGCAUCAAAUAUAAGCUUGGUCGCCUGUCUGAAGGACGUCCUGACGUUUUCUCACUGUUAUAGAUAGUAGCGUGCUAACAAGAAUUAAAUAAAAAUGACUACGAAUCUUGGAGCGAGUUUCGAGGGGGAUCAAAAUGAAAAUG